GUGCCAGCAGCCGCGGUAAUACAGAGGGUGCGAGCGUUGUCCGGAAUCACUGGGCGUAAAGGGCGCGUAGGCGGCUUCUUAAGCGUGUCGUGAAAGCGCGGGGCUCAACCCCGCGUCGGCGAUGCGAACUGGGGAGCUGGAGCACGUCAGAGGCAGGCGGAAUUCCGGGUGUAGCGGUGGAAUGCGUAGAGAUCCGGAAGAACACCGGUGGCGAAGGCGGCCUGCUGGGACGUGGCUGACGCUGAGGCGCGACAGCGUGGGGAGCAAACAGGAUUAGAUACCCUGGUAGUCC
rnacentral:rRNA from 1 species